GAUUGGAUUGCACGUCUAAGCAGUAAGGCUGAGUAUUAGGCAAAUCCGGUACUCGUUAAGGCUGAGCUGUGAUGGGGAGAAGACAUUGUGUCUUCGAGUCGUUGAUUUCACACUGCCGAGAAAAGCCUCUAGAUAGAAAAUAGGUGCCCGUACCGCAAACCGACACAGGUAGUCAAGAUGAGAAUUCUAAGGUGAGCGAGCGAACUCUCGUUAAGGAACUCGGCAAAAUGACCCCGUAACUUCGGGAGAAGGGGUGCUCUUUAGGGUUAACGCCCAGAAGAGCCGCAGUGAAUAGGCCCAAGCGACUGUUUAUCAAAAACACAGGUCUCUGCUAAACCGUAAGGUGAUGUAUAGGGGCUGACGCCUGCCCGGUGCUGGAAGGUUAAGAGGAGUGGUUAGCUUCUGCGAAGCUACGAAUCGAAGCCCCAGUAAACGGCGGCCGUAACUAUAACGGUCCUAAGGUAGCGAAAUUCCUUGUCGGGUAAGUUCCGACCCGCACGAAAGGCGUAACGAUUUGGGCACUGUCUCAACGAGAGACUCGGUGAAAUCAUAGUACCUGUGAAGAUGCAGGUUACCCGCGACAGGACGGAAAGACCCCGUGGAGCUUUACUGUAGCCUGAUAUUGAAAUUCGGCACAGCUUGUACAGGAUAGGUAGGAGCCUUUGA
rnacentral:rRNA from 1 species